AUCUUGCUGGAGAUCUCUGUGUGCUGGAGGCCUUCUAAAGGCCAUUCUGGAAAGCAGCAUCUUCACCUGGAAAAGAGCACAUGCUGGCUGAGGAAGCCCUCCAUCUGCUGCUGGCUCCUGCUCCUGCUGCCUGAGGGGACGGCUGCCGGCUGCUGCCUUGUGUUUGUACAAGGGAAGGCUUGCAGGCUGCUUUGAGGCUCGGAGAGCCACUCGAACCAGACUGUGCAUGGAAGAAUGGAUGCCCAACGGUUGGAUUUGCCAACUCCAGAAGGAAGUGCCAGUUUCCAGGGAGGAAAUAAUUAUCUGAACACAUCCUCCUCAGAUCUGCCUCCCACUCCAGCAGCAGAGAGCGUCUGAAAGGAGCUGCCGGAGCAGCUGUUGUUCCAAGUGCAGCAUUCUCCAGUGGGUUUUCCUCCUGGAGCGAUCCUGAGCCCACGCUCAGAGUUAGGGCUGGAGGAAAGGUGCAUGAAUUGCCUGACUUGCACGGUGCUCUCUGCUGGCUCAGUGGAAGUGAUUCACUUGCUCGUGAGUGCGAAAUGUUCGUCGUCCCUCCUACCCACAGCAUGAUGUGGCUUCUACCCUUCCCCCUCUGUGCUCUUAUCUUCUGCUGCUUGGAGAGGCGGAGUGCUCAGCGGCUGUGAGGUUUGUGUGUCUGGAGGGGGUGGCAACUCGCCAGCCCACGGCAUGCUUCUUGUGCUGUGAAAUUGGAGCGGGUGAAUGCCAGCUACUUCAGUGGAAAAUGGGAGCAGUUCCUCUGCUGCCAGUGAGGGCUGCUGCCUGAAGGUACCACUGGGCUCCAAAGAGUGGAAGACUUUGCUUCUGGCUAUGUAUAACACACCUAUUCCUUUGACACACGUGAAUUGGUGUAUAUUACUGGGAAUUCCAGGAUGCUUAGCUGGGAAUGAACUCCUCUCCGUUUCACAACGUGACUCUGUGGUGUUUGUACUAGUUUAGAUUUGUUAAUUUUGUUUUGUCUGUUUGUUAUUUUCCACUGCUUCAGACUGGGGAAUAGCAGCUGGCCGAGGCUUUGUACUGUCCAUGCCUUACCCUGGUUUUUAAAUUGUCUAACUCUGAAUGAGCUGGGACUUAAGGGGCAUCGUAUGAAACCUCCAGGUGGCAGAUCUGAACCUAAGCAGGCCUCCUUCCACGUGCACUGCAGAGCAGUCGGAUGAAUCCGAGGAAGAAAUGUCCAUUGAGGACUAUUAAACACAAAAGCUUUCAUUACCGGGCCGCAGCCUGGGCACACGGCUAACGUGUUCCAUCCAGCAGGGCUUUGGGGACUGCUCCGAUCAGCUCAUCUGACUCCAUCAGCUGUCCAUCAGACGGCUGGGAAGUGCUCCCAGGGCUAACCUACACACGGUGUCAGCAACCCACCGCCUCUGCUCCCGUUGCUGCCUGCAUAAAGGUCACAGAUAACGAUUAAAAAUAAAUAAAUAAGCCAGGAGAACCCCCCAGCCUACCUCUGGGGUCACUCAGGUUUGAAAUAAAUCUCUCAUCUUU
rnacentral:lncRNA from 1 species